CAACAGGGAUUACCUCAGUAACGGCGAGUGAAGCGGUAACAGCUCAAAUUUGAAAGCUAGCUCUUUUAGGGUUCGCAUUGUAAUUUGUAGAAGAUGCUUCGGGUGUGGCCCCGGUCUAAGUUCCUUGGAACAGGACGUCAUAGAGGGUGAGAAUCCCGUAUGUGACUGGGUGCUUUCGCUCAUGUGAAGCUCUUUCGACGAGUCGAGUUGUUUGGGAAUGCAGCUCAAAAUGGGUGGUAAAUUUCAUCUAAAGCUAAAUAUUGGCCAGAGACCGAUAGCGCACAAGUAGAGUGAUCGAAAGAUGAAAAGCACUUUGGAAAGAGAGUUAAACAGUACGUGAAAUUGUUGAAAGGGAAGCGCUUGCAACCAGACUUGCGCGCUGAUGAUCAUCCGGGCUUCUGUCCGGUGCACUCGUCUGCGCUCAGGCCAGCAUCGGUUUCGGUGGUGGGAUAAAGGCCUUGGGAAUGUAGCUUCUUUCGGGGAGUGUUAUAGCCCUCGGUGCAAUGCCGCCUACCGGGACCGAGGACCGCGCUUCGGCUAGGAUGCUGGCGUAAUGGUUGUAAGCGACCCGUCUUGAAACACGGACCAAGGAGUCUAACAUCUAUGCGAGUGUUUGGGUGUCAAACCCAUACGCGUAAUGAAAGUGAACGGAGGUGAGAACCCUUAAGGGUGCAUCAUCGACCGAUCCUGAUGUCUUCGGAUGGAUUUGAGUAAGAGCAUAGCUGUUGGGACCCGAAAGAUGGUGAACUAUGCGUGAAUAGGGUGAAGCCAGAGGAAACUCUGGUGGAGGCUCGCAGCGGUUCUGACGUGCAAAUCGAUCGUCAAAUUUGCGUAUAGGGCGAAAGACUAAUCG
rnacentral:rRNA from 1 species